GCAACAUCUGCAUUGCUAUUGUGUAACAUGGUUUUUACAAUUACGACAGAGAACUUAUGAAUUUCGUUUCUGCAAAAUUGAAGGGUUUUUCUUUUUCAUUUUGUCAUUGGACGUUUUACGUUACCUUCACUGCCGUUUCAAGAUCAAUUCUGUGCUACACUCGCUUAGUUCUUGUUUUAAUGCCUGUAGUAUGGAUCUAAACUUGUUAAGUGGUUUUGUGAUUGAAUUCUACAUGUGGAGCGCAGAUCCUAGUAUUAUAACUAAUUAAUUGCACUCUUUGAAUCUUGAGAUUAUUUCUAUGAUCUAAAAUAUUGGAUUUAAUUGGUAUUUUAUUAGGAAUAAUAGCCUUUGGUUUUACUUAAAAUUUUCCUAAGUGACAGAUCAUUGAUGCAUGUGAUGGGCCACCUAAG
rnacentral:misc_RNA from 1 species